rnacentral:lncRNA from 1 species
AGACUGAGUGCUUUUUAAGAAAAGGGGUUUGUUCUGUCACACAGUUCUGGAGGCAGAAGGUCAAAGGGCUACAUGUGCUAAUGGCCUUCUUGUUGACAACAGUCCUGAGAGACAGGGUGCAUGCAUAAAAAGACCUUCUAAAAGAAAAAAAAAAGUCUUGUAGACAAAGAACUACCAGUGGAAGUAAUUUAACUAGACAAGCAGAAAGCCUGUGACAAGGUAGGAACUCAAGAGGAGUGUCACUAGAGAGACCCUCAUAAUGCUGAAUAUGCAC